rnacentral:tRNA from 1 species
GGAUAGGUGUCUGAGUGGCUUAAGGUAUCAGUCUUGAAAACUGAAGGUUGCUGCGCAACCCGUGGGUUCGAAUCCCGCCCUAUCCG